AUAAAGACGAAGAAGAGGAGUAGUAGGAAAAUGUUUCCUUUUUCAGAGACCUGCCGGAUGGUGCAAGGCAGGAGAGGAUAUUUCUGAACUCGCCCUGGAGUUGCCGAAGUGAACUGAAAGUAGCUUUGGACGGGAAAUCCCGUUACAGAUUUAAUGAGUGCAUCGGAUGAUAUCCGGUGAAUUAGAGUGGUACCACGGAAUUCAGCCUUUCGUCUCUAAC
rnacentral:ncRNA from 1 species